AUGACAUUCACUCUGUGUUGGUUUUUCUUAUGCAGCUACUGCAGGUUAGUUUUUGCUAAGCUGGGAUUCGGUUACAGUAAUUGCAGUUUUGUUUCUUUUUGUUGGAAUCUGUUGUUUUCAAGGAAGGAGAGAGGGAGUUAUCACGAUUGGUUUUGCAGGUUGUGGAAGCAUAGUGCCAUGGCCUUGAUGAAAGAAAACGGAAGCGAUGAGAGGGAAACUUGA